rnacentral:rRNA from 1 species
AGAGUUUGAUCCUGGCUCAGGAUGAACGCUAGCGGCAGGCUUAACACAUGCAAGUCGAGGGGUAACAUAGGAAUGCUUGCAUUUUUGAUGACGACCGGCGCACGGGUGCGUAACGCGUAUAGAACCUACCUUGUAGUAAGGGAUAGCCCAGAGAAAUUUGGAUUAAUAUCUUAUGGUAUGAUAAGAUGGCAUCAUUUAAUCAUUAAAGAUUUAUCGCUACAAGAUGGCUAUGCGUUCUAUUAGCUAGUUGGUAUGGUAACGGCAUACCAAGGCUACGAUAGAUAGGGGUCCUGAGAGGGAGAUCCCCCACACUGGUACUGAGACACGGACCAGACUCCUACGGGAGGCAGCAGUGAGGAAUAUUGGACAAUGGAGGCAACUCUGAUCCAGCCAUGCCGCGUGUAGGAAGACUGCCCUAUGGGUUGUAAACUACUUUUAUAGAGGAAGAAACCGCCUGACGUGUCAGGCUCUGACGGUACUCUACGAAUAAGGAUCGGCUAACUCCGUGCCAGCAGCCGCGGUAAUACGGAGGAUCCGAGCGUUAUCCGGAGUCAUUGGGUUUAAAGGGUCCGUAGGCGGGCUUGUAAGUCAGUGGUGAAAGUUUUCGGCUCAACCGGAAAAUUGCCAUUGAUACUGCAGGUCUUGAAUCAUUAUGAAGUGGUUAGAAUAAGUAGUGUAGCGGUGAAAUGCAUAGAUAUUACUUAGAAUACCGAUUGCGAAGGCAGAUCACUAAUAAUGUAUUGACGCUAAGGGACGAAAGCGUGGGUAGCGAACAGGAUUAGAUACCCUGGUAGUCCACGCCGUAAACGAUGGUUACUAGCUGUUCGGAUUUCGGUCUGAGUGGCUAAGCGAAAGUGAUAAGUAACCCACCUGGGGAGUACGUUCGCAAGAAUGAAACUCAAAGGAAUUGACGGGGGCCCGCACAAGCGGUGGAGCAUGUGGUUUAAUUCGAUGAUACGCGAGGAACCUUACCAGGGCUUAAAUGUGGUAUGACAGGUUUAGAGAUAGACUUUUCUUCGGACAUAUUACAAGGUGCUGCAUGGUUGUCGUCAGCUCGUGCCGUGAGGUGUCAGGUUAAGUCCUAUAACGAGCGCAACCCCUGUUGUUAGUUGCCAGCGAGUAAUGUCGGGAACUCUAGCAAGACUGCCAGUGCAAACCGCGAGGAAGGUGGGGAUGACGUCAAAUCAUCACGGCCCUUACGUCCUGGGCCACACACGUGCUACAAUGGUAGGUACAGAGAGCAGCCACUACGCGAGUAGGAGCGAAUCUAUAAAACCUAUCACAGUUCGGAUCGGAGUCUGCAACUCGACUCCGUGAAGCUGGAAUCGCUAGUAAUCGGAUAUCAGCCAUGAUCCGGUGAAUACGUUCCCGGGCCUUGUACACACCGCCCGUCAAGCCAUGGAAGCUGGGGGUACCUGAAGUCCGUCACCGCAAGGAGCGGCCUAGGGUAAAACUGGUAACUGGGGCUAAGUCGGAACAAGGUA